rnacentral:rRNA from 1 species
UACGUAGGCGGCAAGCGUUGUCCGGAAUUACUGGGCGUAAAGCGCGUGUAGGUGGUGGGACAAGUCUGCUGUGAAAGCGCCUGGCUUAACCGGGCGAGGUCGGCGGAAACUGUCCGACUCGAGGACGGUAGAGGGGGGUGGAAUUCCCGGUGUAGUGGUGAAAUGCGUAGAGAUCGGGAGGAACACCUGUGGCGAAGGCGGCCCCCUGGGCCGGCCCUGACACUGAGACGCGAAGGCGUGGGGAGCGAACGGG